rnacentral:tRNA from 1 species
GGGAUUGUGGCUCAAUGGCAGAGCUCUUGCUUUGCAUAUAUGAGGCACUGGGUUCGAUCAUCAGCAUCACA